ACCUAAACGAUGCGGAAGUUGAAGUCACCGUGGAGAACGUAAACUAAUGUUAAGCAGCCUCCUGAAAAUUAAAGAAAAGAGCCAAAGAAAAUAAAGAAAAAGAGGCAGAGGCGGCGGAGCGGACACCGGCCGAGCAGGACGCUUCUUCUCCGUCUGCUCUCUCACUGCUGCCGGCAUGCAGCGGAGUUUGUUUAGCUAGCCGUUACUGUCACUACUCCUCCGGUUCUCCGUUAACCGUUGCCUUCUCCGUGACCGUCAGUCCGCCCGUUACCGACACAGCUGCCGAUAAAUGGACCCACCGGGUGAGUCAGAGUCCACGUCGGAGGUGCUGCGGGACUGCACGGCUCGUUAAACCUGCUACAUCCCAUCCUCUCCUGGAGCUUCGGGGGUCCUGAUACUAGACAGGUCUUCUCAGGACCCUCCACCCCUCCGUAAGCUGCCAUCUGUCACUGCCGCUCCUGAUUGGCUUGAAGGCUUCAGUUCUGCAGGCAGGCCGGGCCCCGAUUGGCUGGCAGGCUCCCUGGGAGAAGGCGGGCGGGUCAAGACAGCCGCUGAUUGAUAGAUAUCGGAAGUGGAGGAGGAGGAAGAGGA
ensembl:lncRNA